rnacentral:rRNA from 1 species
GAAACGACUGCUAAGACUGGAUAGGAAAAGUAAAGGCAUCUUUACUUUUUUAAAAGACCUUCUUUGAAGGUAUGCUUAAGGAGGGGCUUGCGACACAUUAGUUAGUUGGCAGGGUAAAGGCCUACCAAGACUAUGAUGUGUAGCUGGACUGAGAGGUUGAACAGCCACAUUGGGACUGAGACACGGCCCAAACUCCUACGGGAGGCAGCAGUAGGGAAUUUUCGGCAAUGGAGGAAACUCUGACCGAGCAACGCCGCGUGAACGAUGAAGUACCUCGGUAUGUAAAGUUCUUUUAUUAAGGAAGAAAAAAGAGUGGAAAAACUCCCUUGACGGUACUUAAUGAAUAAGCCCCGGCUAAUUAUGUGCCAGCAGCCGCGGUAAUACAUAAGGGGCGAGCGUUAUCCGGAAUUAUUGGGCGUAAAGGGUGCGUAGGCGGUUUAAUAAGUCUAUAGUUUAAUUUCAGUGCUUAACGCUGUUGUGCUAUAGAAACUGUUUUACUAGAGUGAGUUAGAGGCAAGCGGAAUUCCAUGUGUAGCGGUAAAAUGCGUAAAUAUAUGGAGGAACACCAGAGGCGUAGGCGGCUUGCUGGGACUUUACUGACGCUGAGGCACGAAAGCGUGGGGAGCAAACAGGAUUAGAUACCCUGGUAGUCCACGCCGUAAACGAUGAGUACUAAGUGUCGGGUAAAACCGGUACUGAAGUUAACACAUUAAGUACUCCGCCUGAGUAGUACGUACGCAAGUAUGAGACUUAAAGGAAUUGACGGGACUCCGCACAAGCGGUGGAUCAUGUUGUUUAAUUCGAAGAUACACGAAAAACCUUACCAGGUCUUGACAUUUUCUUGCGAAGUUAUAGAAAUAUAAUGGAGGUUAUCAGGAAAACAGGUGGUGCAUGGUUGUCGUCAGCUCGUGUCGUGAGAUGUUAGGUUAAGUCCUAAAACGAGCGCAACCCUUGUCGUUAAUUGCCAGCAUGUAAUGAUGGGGACUUUAACGAGACUGCCAAUGAAAAAUUGGAGGAAGGUGGGGAUUACGUCAAAUCAUCAUGCCCCUUAUGAUCUGGGCUACAAACGUGAUACAAUGGUUGAUACAAAGAGUAGCUGAAACGCGAGUUCUUAGCCAAUCUCACAAAAUCAAUCUCAGUUCGGAUUGAAGUCUGCAACUCGACUUCAUGAAGUUGGAAUCGCUAGUAAUCGCGAAUCAGCAUGUCGCGGUGAAUACGUUCUCGGGGUUUGUACACACCGCCCGUCA